AUCUCCAGUCACGUUCCAUACCCUGUCGCGUUGCAUGUAAAUAUCGUCAAUGUCCCUCAGCCAGCUGCUGCAGCCAUCCAGAGACAUUAUAACGAUGAAGAUCCUGAGAAGGAAAAGCGAAUAAAGGAAUUGGAGUUGCUCCUGAUGUCAACAGAGAACGAACUGAAGGGACAGCAGGCAUUACCAACACAGAACCAUACUUGCAGCUAUCCCGGGUGGCACAGCACCUCCAUUGUGGACCAGACCAGACCUCAUGGAGACAGUGCACCUGUUUCCUGUUUGGGAGAAAACCAUGCCACUCCGUCUCUGCCUGCAGAUCCUGGCUCUCUACCUGAAGAAAGUGCCUCGCCAGCAAGUUCUUGAACACUUCCAGCAACCAUGAAAACUCGGGCUUAGAUACGCCUACUUUACCCUCCACGCCUCUCAUUGGUCACAAACUGACACCGUGUCACCGAGACCAGACUGUGAAAACUCAAAAGGAAAACUCCAUCUUUAGAACUCCAGCUAUCAAAAGGUCAAUCCUCGAAAGCUCUCCCAGAACUCCCACACCAUUCAAACAUGCCCUGGCAGCUCAAGAAAUUAAAUACGGUCCCCUGAAGAUGCUACCUCAGACCCCCUCUCAUGUAGUGGAAGACCUACAAGAUGUGAUCAAGCAGGAAUCUGAUGAAUCCGGAAUUGUUGCUGAGUUUCAUGAGAAUGGACCACCGUUACUGAAGAAA
rnacentral:lncRNA from 1 species